UAAAGCCAGUGUAGAAGAAGGGGAGCAUAGGGGUCAUUUUCACAGUCAUCUCAUUAAGAGAUUUGUCCAAUGGCACUAUUCAUAGCUCUUAAAAUACUAAUUACUGUUUCCUUUGUGAUGUAAUCACUCACAAGAUUCUAGACACGGUGCGCCAUGUGGCAAAAGGGUUUCUGAAAGGGAACAGUCCUUAACUACAUCCAUGAACUUUUAGUAGAUUUGCCUCUAUGAAAGGUGAGAUGCUCUGUAAAGACACCAUAGUAAUGACCCACAAGUCAAGAACCAUAAUACUAAAAAAAGGAAGAAUAAAACUCCCAGUAUUCCCAAGGGAUUCAGUUUGGGCCAAUGACCUGGAGAGGAAUGCAAUAUACCACUUUCAUGCCUGUUUCGUAAAAUGCAAUGUGUGACUAUCCAUGAAGGCAACCAUGGAGACCACGUGUUGACUAUGGCUGCAUCGCACGACAAAGGAAAACCACCUCAAAUGAUAGGAGAAAAGAAACAAACCUUUACUUACUAAGCCACUGAGACUCCAGAGCUUGUUUAUGAUUGUACCAUAAGAAAGCCCUACCUGACCCAUUAAGAAAGUGGUACUGGCAAUGGAGACUACCAUCGUAAGACCUUUAAGAUGUGCCAGUGCAUCAGGUACCAAAGAAUAUGGUGAUGUAAGUCAUGAGGUAGGAAAGCAGUUGUAAAACUGUUAUCAAUAACUGGAUAGAAUCCAGCCUACUACUAAGUCAGAAGCCCUACAAAGUGGGAGGAAGGUGGGAAACAAUCACAGUAUUAGCGUGUACUGGCUAAUAUAGGCUGGAUUUUGUAAUGCCUUCAUCACAUGGAAGAGAAUAUUUGGGAAUGAACUCCCAUACACUCCCCUUGGACCCUGAAGAUCUGGCUUCCCCAAGCCACCAAAACUGUGUUCCAAAUGCUAUCCAUGAUCUGCUGAUGAUAAACUGGAAAACAAUUGCCUUGCCUUUAUUCUUAUUAAUUUGUAGCAACUCAGACUGUUAGCAACGCCUUUUCUUGAAAGUCAGCCAUAAAAAACAACA